rnacentral:rRNA from 1 species
AGCGCAGGCGGGAAGACAAGUUGGAAGUGAAAACCAUGGGCUCAACCCAUGAAUUGCUUUCAAAACUGUUUUUCUUGAGUAGUGCAGAGGUAGAUGGAAUUCCCGGUGUAGCGGUGGAAUGCGUAGAUAUCGGGAGGAACACCAGUGGCGAAGGCGGCCUACUGGGCACCAACUGACGCUGAGGCUCGAAAGUGUGGGUAGCAAACA